rnacentral:rRNA from 1 species
CCUACGGGAGGCAGCAGUGGGGAAUUUUGGACAAUGGGCGAAAGCCUGAUCCAGCCAUGCCGCGUGCAGGAUGAAGGCCUUCGGGUUGUAAACUGCUUUUGUACGGAACGAAAAGGUCUUUUCUAAUAAAGAAGGCUCAUGACGGUACCGUAAGAAUAAGCACCGGCUAACUACGUGCCAGCAGCCGCGGUAAUACGUAGGGUGCGAGCGUUAAUCGGAAUUACUGGGCGUAAAGCGUGCGCAGGCGGUUAUAUAAGACAGUUGUGAAAUCCCCGGGCUCAACCUGGGAACUGCAUCUGUGACUGUAUAGCUAGAGUACGGUAGAGGGGGAUGGAAUUCCGCGUGUAGCAGUGAAAUGCGUAGAUAUGCGGAGGAACACCGAUGGCGAAGGCAAUCCCCUGGACCUGUACUGACGCUCAUGCACGAAAGCGUGGGGAGCAAACAGGAUUAGAUACCCUGGUAGUCCACGCCCUAAACGAUGUCAACUGGUUGUUGGGUCUUCACUGACUCAGUAACGAAGCUAACGCGUGAAGUUGACCGCCGUGGGGAGUAACGGCCGCAAGUUGAAACUUNAAAGGAAUUGACGG